rnacentral:rRNA from 1 species
AGAUUCCCCCAGUAGCGGCGAGCGAACGGGGAGGAGCCCAGAGCCUGAAUCAGUGUGUGUGUUAGUGGAAGCGUCUGGAAAGGCGCGCGAUACAGGGUGACAGCCCCGUACACAAAAAUACACAUAUUGUGAGCUCGAUGAGUAGGGCGGGACACGUGGUAUCCUGUCUGAAUAUGGGGGGACCAUCCUCCAAGGCUAAAUACUCCUGACUGACCGAUAGUGAACCAGUACCGUGAGGGAAAGGCGAAAAGAACCCCGGCGAGGGGAGUGAAAAAGAACCUGAAACCGUGUACGUACAAGCAGUGGGAGCACGCUUAGGCGUGUGACUGCGUACCUUUUGUAUAAUGGGUCAGCGACUUAUAUUCUGUAGCAAGGUUAACCGAAUAGGGGAGCCGAAGGGAAACCGAGUCUUAACUGGGCGUUAAGUUGCAGGGUAUAGACCCGAAACCCGGUGAUCUAGCCAUGGGCAGGUUGAAGGUUGGGUAACACUAACUGGAGGACCGAACCGACUAAUGUUGAAAAAUUAGCGGAUGACUUGUGGCUGGGGGUGAAAGGCCAAUCAAACCGGGAGAUAGCUGGUUCUCCCCGAAAGCUAUUUAGGUAGCGCCUCGUGAAUUCAUCUCCGGGGGUAGAGCACUGUUUCGGCAAGGGGGUCAUCCCGACUUACCAACCCGAUGCAAACUGCGAAUACCGGAGAAUGUUAUCACGGGAGACACACGGCGGGUGCUAACGUCCGUCGUGAAGAGGGAAACAACCCAGACCGCCAGCUAAGGUCCCAAAGUCAUGGUUAAGUGGGAAACGAUGUGGGAAGGCCCAGACAGCCAGGAUGUUGGCUUAGAAGCAGCCAUCAUUUAAAGAAAGCGUAAUAGCUCACUGGUCGAGUCGGCCUGCGCGGAAGAUGUAACGGGGCUAAACCAUGCACCGAAGCUGCGGCAGCGACGCUUAUGCGUUGUUGGGUAGGGGAGCGUUCUGUAAGCCUGUGAAGGUGUGCUGUGAGGCAUGCUGGAGGUAUCAGAAGUGCGAAUGCUGACAUAAGUAACGAUAAAGCGGGUGAAAAGCCCGCUCGCCGGAAGACCAAGGGUUCCUGUCCAACGU